rnacentral:lncRNA from 1 species
GGAUAUAUUUAUUUCGGGUAUGAGUAUUCUCUGGGACGAGGAUUUCAAUUACCAGAGAUUUUGGCCGGGAUUUCAAUUCAUACUUGGGGUAUGAAGAUCGAUAUUGUACCUUUACCCGGCCGACCAGGUACAGGGUAUGCUCACCCCUAAUUAUGAAUGUACCAUGAAUGUAUUAUUUCAUCGAUUUCAUUAAGAAAUUUGAAAUAAGAAUAUCUCCAUGUUUUCUUCAAGCACAAAGUGCCAUAAAAACUCCAUAAUCCCAAUAUAAAACCAAGUAUUAAGCUUAUAUAGAUUCCUAUAAUGUUUGAAUCAAUGGGUUUUUUGUCUGAAACCAAUCUCGGUGUUUGCUCAUGAUCACAACUUUUUUCCAAAGGAAAUCCACAGAGAUAGGGAUUGUUAGCGUAAACCAAAGGAUCGACAAAGGUUUGAAAUUGGAAACCUGAUGGUAUACUCCCUGAGAGAUUGUUAAAAGACAGGUUCAAAUCACUCAAUGACGUCAUUCUCCUCAUUGUCUUUGGAAUUUGACCUGAUAAAUUAUUUUGAGACAAAUCCAAUGCUUGGAGAUCCUUCAGUGCACUCAUGGUAUCUGGAAUUUUAGCUGUUAGCCGAUUCCUUGAUAAAUUAAGAUUCACCAAGAAAGUAAGUUUCCCCAAUUCCCUUGGAACCUCGCCAUCCAAUUCGUUCAUCGAGAGAUCUAUGCUUGUGAAUAAUGGUAGUAACUUUGUGUAUGUUAUUACACUUCUUUUAAAGGUGAUAGAUAUGUCAUCUGUGUAAAUAUCUCCUUGCUCUGCCAUACCACUACUAUCACCGAUCUCAAAAUUAGAAUGUGUCAUCUCCUCAUCUAUCAUGUGCUUUUGCGACAUUGCCUUGAAAUCUGCAAAGCUUUUAGGAAUUCUCCCAGAUAGAUGAUUUUGAGAAAGAUCCAAUAAUUGAAGAGAAGAUAAAUUUGAGAGAAGCAGAGGAAUCUUUCCUGAAAACAUAUUCGAUCUUAAUAUCAAAACCUUUAAAGAUGUUAACAUCGGACCUGAAUCCCAAAUCGAGAGGUUUCCUGAUAAGUUGUUAUUACCAAGAUCAAGAAUGACAAUAUCAUUGCAAAGUUUGAGGGAUGUUGGUAGAGUUCCUGAGAUGUUGUUGUUUUCCAAAUUCAAUGCUUGGAGAUUGCAUACAGAAUUAUUUGAUGAGGGAAUUGUGGCUUGAAGAUUGUUCCUUGCUAAGUUUAGAAUACCAUUUAUGCCCAUUAGACAACCAGGUACUUCACCUGUGAAAUGAUUCCUUGAAAGAUCCAAUGAAGUUAGAUUCAUUUUGCAGAGUGAAGUUGGAAUCGUACCUGAAAGUAGAUGAUGAAUAAUAUUAUGCAUUUUUACUUGCAAAAAAUAAUCUAGUUUGUUAGAAAAUUAAGAACAAAUAUAUUAUGUAUGUACCUUCAAAUUUAUUGUUUCUUAGAUUGAUAUCAAAAUCAGAUAGGAAGCCAUAAUAUUCCAGAUAUGCAAAAUCAGGUAAACUUCCUAUUAAUCCGUUGCUUGAGAGUUGUAUAUAUGUAAUAGACGACGAGAAAUCCCAAAUCCAUUUUGGAAGGGUACUUAACAUUCCAGUAUUUGUAAUGCUCAGAAUUUCGAUAUCUUUUUGAGUUUGUAUCCAUGAGGGAAAUUCAGACCCAAUUUCACAGAAAGAAAGGUACAAAUAUGAAAGACUGAAUGGCGGAAUCCAAUUUUUAGACACGUUCAGAAUCAAUGAUUUAGAUCCAGUUAAUCUUAAAUCUUGCAAAUUUGAUAGAAUUUGAAGAUCUGAUUCCAAUACAACUCCUUUUAGACCUUUCCCUCCCAAGUCCAAGACCUCUAAGAGUGGGUUCUGAAAUAGACAGCUUGGAAUAGUCCCAUUCAUAUUAUCAUUAUUGGAAAGAUGGAGAAAUUCAAGUUUAGAAAGAUUACAUAAUGACUCAGGUAUUGAUCCAAGAAGUUGAUUGUGGCCAAGAUCUAAUUCUAUCAGAUACUUCAAUUUCCCAAUUGAAAUGGGAAUGAAUCCGACCAAUGUAUUGGUUUCAAGAUUCAGUUGUUGUAGAGAAGAGAGUGGUGUUCCAAUGGAUGUUGGAAUCUUUCCAGAUAAGUUAUUAUUGCGGAGAUUAAGAUUCUGCAACGAUGAGAUUUCAAAAAUCGAUCGAGGGAUGGAAUGACUUAAUUUGUUGGAGGAAAAAUCUACAAUCUUCAGCAAAGAUAAUUGCCCAAUAGAUUUUGGAAUAGAACCAAUCAUUCUAUUAUCAGAAAAAUUGAUCACUUCAAGAUUUGAUAAAUUUCCAAUAGAUUUUGGAAUGGAACCAUUAAACAUGUUAUUAGAAAGAUUAAUCUCGCGAAGAUGAACUGAAAACUCUCCAAGAGACUCUGGAAUUGAACCACCUAAGUGAUUUUCUGAAAAAUCAAAAGAUCUUAGUUUGCUGAGAUUUUGAAUCCCAAGUGGAAAACCAAUGGCGUUACUAUUGGGACUCCAAAUCACAGCUUCAAGAUUUAAAUCCUCGAUGUUUGGUAAUCGAAACAUCCAAUCUGGAAAUGCAGAAUCGAUCAUUGGAUUAUUGGAAAGAUCUAAUUUUACGAGAGAAGUGAAAUUAACAUGUGGAAGAAUAGAAUCAGAAAUCGAUCCUAUAUCGCAGUUGGACAAUCUAAUGACUGAAAUUGAAGACAAGGCAUUGAGAGAUUCCAACCAACCAGAAGUAUUUCGUAAACUAACUCCACUCAUAUCAAGAUAUUUCAAAGAUGAAAGAUUGGAAAAUAACCCCCCAUUUUCUAAUGAGAGUCCUCUAUUCCCAGACAGAUCUAAAUGUUGAAUCCUACGGAGACUUUGCAUCUUUAACGGUACGAUUCCGACAAGAAAUGCAUUAGACAAACUAAGAUACCUCAAAUCAUGGAACUCUGAAAUCAAAUCUAAAAUUAAGUUGGAUUUUCUCAUUUGGACACUGCAUUGAAUGAAGUUGAUGCCACUCAAAUCCAAAUGCUGUAAGUAUUUUAAGUAAAGCAAAGAUGCAUCAAAUUCACCUGAGAAAAACCUCAUGUAACUAAGAUCAAGCUUGAUGACACGAACACCGGUAUGGGUACUAUUGGUGCAAAGAAUUCCUUUCCAUUUGCAGCAUUCAUUACCCUUCCAGGCAUAAAACUCAUUUGGGUCUUCAAUCUUGCUUUUAAAUUUGAUGAGAGCAUCCCUCUCCUUGGAAGAACAACCUACUGACACCACCUCCGAACAUGAUGACCAUUGAACUUUGACGAGGAGAGAAGCAACACAGAGAGUAACAACAGCUGAAGAAAUAAUAUUCAUGACUGAUUGAAAACAAUGUUGGUGGAAGAAAUGAGUCAAAUUGAAGUUGAUUUUAUGGAACUUUUAGCCAAAAAUUUCGUGUAUAAUUGAAAUAUGUUUUGAAAAGUAAAGGUAUAAACAAUUUAGAAUUCAACAAAGAUGGCUACAAAAGCCAAAAGCACAUACCGACUUAGACAUUUAGUGGAAACAUUAGUGGAGAUUAUUUUCACAUAGAUCCUUAUUAUUUUAAGAUAUUUUGCACCACAGCAACUUAAAAACAGGUUGUUUAAUCAAAAGAUUAAAGAUCUAGGAAGUUUAAUUUCAUAAUUGAAUAAUCUAAACGAUUACAGAUUAAGAAAGAAUCUAAAUAUUAAAAGUAUAUUUUUAAAAAGUAUUUACCCCGCCCAAGUGCCCAACCAUAUGUAAAGGGAUGGAACUUAUGGAAGUCAUUUGAAUAAAUGUUAUCAAAAAGAACAUCUCAUGUAUUUAAUCUAUUCUGCCAAUCAGAAAUAAUUAUCUACUUACUACCUUCAGUGGCAAGUUUAAUUCUUUGGUGAUGUUCUGCCACCUUGUACUCAACUAUUUCCUGGAAAAGAUGGGCAUCCAAAACACAGUCAUGGCGGCCAUAUACAGAUGCUUGGACACUCGCCAUGAGUUUAGCAAUUUCCCUACCUGAAAACCCAUCACACUUUUGAGCAGCUUCACGGAAGAUGUCUUCAGACAUGUCUUCCUUCACAGUAAUGGCCUGCUGAUCUUUUCUAAAGAAUGAUUUCCAUUUGGAGGAUUGUUUGUCGUCUUUGCGAGAUAUGUACUUGUUUAAAUAAAGCUUCAACAGUUCGUGGCGUUCUUCCACACCAGGAAGGGGAAACUCGAGUACUUCAUCUAUUCGAUCUGUAAUUGCGGCAUCAAGGUCCCCUGGUCUGUUUGUAGCCAGCACAAGGACAAUGUCUCUUGAUUGAUCACCUGUGCGAAAAAGAAGAGCAUUUAAAGCACUUCUCUGUGCUUCACUCAUAUGAAUGCUGUUCCUUCUGCAAAUAUAACGAGAAAGGAAGAAGAGUUUAGAAAUAGUUAUAAAAAUAUAUUAUUUUAUAAAUACCGUCAAUAACUGUAGAAAUUGUUUAACUUCAAAAUGAGAUAAUGCAGUCAUUAUCAUCAUAAUUAUAACCAUAGUUCAAAAAAGCGAAAAGCGCUUCCACUUUUCAAGAAGAGUUUUUUUUGCUUUAAGGGCUUAAAGUGCCAAGGGUAUUUUAGUAAUAUUCUGCAAAAAUACAUAUAAUCCUAUAUAAAUACACAAAAUCUAUAGAAAAUUAAAAAUACCUUAAAAAAUCACAUGUAAUAUAAUAUUAAAUAUUUAUUUCAUAUAACUAAAAUUAAAUCCAACUAAAAUCUGAAAUUGGGGUAAGGGUUUUUAAUUUAAGUUAGAAUAGAGUAGAACUGGAAAAAAAGUAUAUUAGGUGAAAAUAUUAUUAAAUAAUAGGUGUAAUUGGGUAAUCAAGCGGAUCUUUACCCGAACCCGCUCGAUUACCCACUUUAGGAAAAGCGCUCCUCCAAGAGAGCUUUAGCGUGCUUUAAGCGUGCUUAAAGCGACACUUUCAAAACUAUGAUUAUAACAAUAAACAUGUUGCUAAAUUAAGUUCUAAGGACACGAUAGGAAAUUAGAAUGAAUGAAAUGUUUCAUUACUUCACUUUUCACUUUUUUCAACAAUAAAUAUACUGCAUGCAUAUUAAAAAAAUCUUACAAUAAUAUAGUUUACCUGAAAUAUUAAACAAACAAAAUAAACAAUAGCUUACUCGCAUAGAAAUGCAUCUGCCUCGUCAAUAAAUAGUAAUAAACCUUUUUUGGACUUUUUAGCCCAAUCAAAAAUUUGAUGUAUUUUUGUAACUGCCUGUGAACCCAACGGUGCAACAUCUCCUCCUGUCAUCAUUGCAUAAUCAAGUCCCUGUCAAAUUAUCAAAGUUUAGUUAAAGAAAAAAGUUCUAUACAAGUUUAUAAACAAGCAGACCUCAUAUGCAAAAUCUAGAGUAAAAUCAUCCACCUUAGACAUAUGAACUAAAUACAAUUUAUUUUAUCAUUAUCGGCAAAGAAAGUAGUAGUUAUAGACUUAUAUAACCAUAUUUUAGAAAUAUGUAGCCUCAUAUAAGCAUCAAUCAAAUAGAAGUUUGAUGGUUGAUACCAUUAAUCUACUUUAGCAUUGGUGCACAGAAUACAGAUGUACUUGAAGGUACACAAGUACACAACAAUAAAGAAUAAAUCACGUUAGGCAACUGCACAAACAGUAUGGUAUGAUGAAAUCAUUUCCCAUUGUAAUUGAUUGGCAAAGUGUGACUGGUUAGAUAACUUCAUUUCUUUUAAAAAAUUCUGUAACAGAUGCGAGUUAUACAAUGAUACAAAGGAUCAUGAGUAUAUAAGAGGUGAAUUAACAUCUACAAAAGACGGCAAUUGCCACUACAUCUCAUAUUUACCUGGACUGGGGGAAAAAGUAUUAAAUAGCAGAGAUAAAAAUGAUGUUUAAGAGCCAAGUUAAAAGAACUCUUCAUUGAUAUAAAUAAAAAUAGUAUAUACUAUAUAUACUCAUGCUAACCAAGCAAAAAAAUAUUGCAUGUCUAAAGGAUGCCAUGUAAUAUCUCGC